GGCGCUAUAGUGUAGUGGCAGCACAUGGGAUUCUGAUUCCCAUAACCCAGGUUCGACCCCUGGUAGUGCCU
rnacentral:tRNA from 1 species